UGAACAGCCGAGGCACUGCAGGUCUAAGAACUAGUUACACCACUAUAGCAUCGAAAAAGUUACUGAUGAGUGAGUAGACAUCCAACUGACUUCUCAUAUUGAUCACACUCAAUAUCGUUGUUCUCUAACAACCACCUACACUCUGACUCUAGUGUUCUCAUACUAUAGACUCAAGACUCGUCUAUCCCUAAGGGAAGCGAUCUGUGCACCAAUCUUACUGGAUCAAUCACCAUCCCCAUGAUGAUCCUU
rnacentral:lncRNA from 1 species